UCUCGGCUUAUCACCGGCAGUCCCCCUAGAGUGCCCAACUGAAUGAUGGCAACUAGGGGCGAGGGUUGCGCUCGUUGCGGGACUUAACCCAACAUCUCACGACACGAGCUGACGACAGCCAUGCAGCACCUGUGUUCCGGCCAGCCGAACUGAAGAACGCCAUCUCUGGCGCCCAAACCGGACAUGUCAAAGGCUGGUAAGGUUCUGCGCGUUGCUUCGAA
rnacentral:misc_RNA from 1 species